AAACCAUGUUGUGGGCAUGAACUGACGAGAUCCUUGAACCGCUCCAAACAUUGAAAGAAUGUUUCAUCUUCCUUUUGGACAAAGUUGAUGAUUGAUUUUCAAAGGGU